rnacentral:sRNA from 1 species
AAAACCUUGGAGACUCAAAACUCCUAUUUAUCCAUAGAACACGUAUAGCAUGGGCAGCACUAUUGCAAGCAGCUUCCCUACCCUAUUCCAUCAAUGUGCCUCAUCUCUGACCUGAAAGAACUAUCUUUAAGGGUGAGAAGUUCAUUGUGUAUAACUAUUUAGCCCGAUUUCU